CACACACACACACACACACACACACACCCCAGAACUUCUCAGGAUAAAACAGCAGCGGGAGAAAAGCUGAUUAAAGCCCAUUUGGUUUCUCUGUCUCAAAUUAGCUCUCCGCAAUGGACCCAAACAUGACUUUGGGUCCUUAAGGCUCUGAUACUGAGUUAGGGAGAUACACUGGGUGAAGAAAGUGAUGUACCUGAGGUGGUGGAGAGUAACAAUAGCCCUGAAGAAGAAGAUGAUGGUGACGAGGGUGACAAUAGUAACUCGCAUUCGUUGAGCACUCACUGAGUGCCAACUUGUAGCGUCCUAACUUCACAUGGCUGAUUUCACCUGCUCCUCCAAGUAAGGCUUGUAAGGUGGGUGCUACUCUCAGUCUCUCUCCGGGCGAGGUUACCGAGGCUUAGAUUUGGAAAGCGACUUGCUCAAGACCACAUAGCUAAUAAUAACUGGUGGAGUGAGAGUUCAAGCCCCACGGUGUGUAAUUCUAGAUCCUUUUACUCCUGUUUUGUGGGGGAUGUGGCACCAGAGAGAACUGGCCAAAGAGGGCUUCCCUAGAAGUACUCAUGUUGCACAAGACUGAUAAAAGGAGACCCCACGAGGCGAGCAAGCUGAGCCCUGAGAAGCAGCUUUGGCAAAUUAACUUCCAUCUUCCCAGGCCAGCAACCUCUGAUUGAUUUAUUUAUUUGUUUGUUUUAUAGUAGAGGAACACAUACCACUUGGCAUUACUCUUCUUGACAGUGGGAGAUUACAUGCUGGACUUGACUGAGUUUCUGUCAGGGAGAAUUUAUUGCAAUUUCGAAGAUGGUUCUUAAAAGAGAUGGCUGUUUUGCAUUUUUUAUACAGGUCCUGCAAAUAUGUCAGGGUGUCUCCUCAGGCCACCUCCCUUCCUUUCUGGUGGCCUGACCUCCACAUACCUGCCCCUUCAGCUAACUUCCCACUACCACAAAUACUCCAGUACGUUCGCACUUCACGCUACGGGCCGAACCAAUCUUCACCUAGUUUGGGAUUCGUGCCUGGUCCUGUUUCUUCCUCCAGCAUCAGCAUUUUCUCAGUAUUACCGACAGCAAGGACCUCAGCGCAUAGUCCGGCCCACUGGCCCCAAAGAGAUAAUCCUGUGAGAGUCUAACAUCAGCACGUUGCUGAAAGACAUGGAAAAUAAUGUCAGAGCUGGUGAUGGAACUCUCCCUUUCCUCUGCCUUCAUGCUUCCAUGUGGAGGGAGCUCCAUUAGAGUAUCACUCCUACUCUCUCACCCCAUUCCCUCUCCAAGGAUGGAGCAGUGACUUAUUGGUGUGCUUGGGGAAGGAGCUCAGUCUGCCUCUCUCUGUCUUUGUAUGUCACUGCAUACUUGCAGAAAUGAAUAUUCAGGAACAAGUCUUCAUGGGAGAACCCUGAAGUUGGUCAGUCCAGCCAUGGUCUGUGAGGCGAUGUUUGUCUAACUCAAGGGUACUAACAAUAAAGAUAAUGUUUUAGUUUCUACUUA